CAGCGCCACAAGUGGCAAUCACGUUUAUUGGGCCUAAAGCGUCCGUAGCCGGUUUAGCAAAUCUUUUGUGAAAUCGUCAGGCUUAACUUGACGAAUUGCAGAAGACACUACUAAACUAGGGACUGGGAGGAGUCAGAAGUAUUCCGGGGGGACCGGUAAAAUGGUAUAAUCCCCGGAGGACUACCGAUGGCGAAGGCAUCUGACCAGAACGGAUCCGACGGUGAGGAACGAAAGCUAGGGGAGCGAACCGGAUUAGAUACCCGAGUAGUCC
rnacentral:rRNA from 1 species